GACGAACGCUGGCGGCGUGCUUAACACAUGCAAGUCGAACGGAAAGGCCCUGCUUGCAGGGUACUCGAGUGGCGAACGGGUGAGUAACACGUGGGUGAUCUGCCCUGCACUUCGGGAUAAGCCUGGGAAGCUGGGUCUAAUACCGGAUAGGAGCCAUUUUUAGUGUGAUGGUUGGAAAGUUUUUUCGGUGUAGGAUGAGCUCGCGGCCUAUCAGCUUGUUGGUGGGGUAAUGGCCUACCAAGGCGGCGACGGGUAGCCGGCCUGAGAGGGUGGACGGCCACAUUGGGACUGAGAUACGGCCCAAACUCCUACGGGAGGCAGCAGUGGGGAAUAUUGCACAAUGGGCGCAAGCCUGAUGCAGCGACGCCGCGUGGGGGAUGACGGCCUUCGGGUUGUAAACUCCUUUCGCUAGGGACGAAGCUUUUUGUGACGGUACCUAGAUAAGAAGCACCGGCUAACUACGUG
rnacentral:rRNA from 1 species